GUGGGGAAUCUUAGACAAUGGGGGCAACCCUGAUCUAGCCAUGCCGCGUGAGUGAUGAAGGCCUUAGGGUUGUAAAGCUCUUUCAGCUGGGAAGAUAAUGACGGUACCAGCAGAAGAAGCCCCGGCUAACUCCGUGCCAGCAGCCGCGGUAAUACGGAGGGGGCUAGCGUUGUUCGGAAUUACUGGGCGUAAAGCGCACGUAGGCGGACCAGAAAGUUGGGGGUGAAAUCCCGGGGCUCAACCUCGGAACUGCCUUCAAAACUAUUGGUCUGGAGUUCGAGAGAGGUGAGUGGAAUUCCGAGUGUAGAGGUGAAAUUCGUAGAUAUUCGGAGGAACACCAGUGGCGAAGGCGGCUCACUGGCUCGAUACUGACGCUGAGGUGCGAAAGCGUGGGGAGCAA
rnacentral:rRNA from 1 species